UUUGAGAGAGAUUCAUAUAGGUGAGGACUUUGGAGAGUUAUGUACUUGAUGAAUAUGUAUUCAUUUUGAGGAAAAUGUAAAUGUAAAAGAAUGUGAUGUAAUUGAAUGCAAUUAAUGUAAUAGCUAGUAGUUCUCUCUUUAUUUCACUUGUGUAUCUUGUGGAUUACUUGCUCUUCGUUGUUGGCACUAUUUGUGCCCCGUUGAUUGUGUACUUAUAGAAUUUAAUUUUUUCUGGGUAAAUUCUUGUACAUGACCAGGUUGUGAGCCUUGGGCGGGCAGGGGAGUUGUUGCCCGUUCGGCAUCCGUUCGCCGCGCCCGAACCGUGCCAAAUUGGUAGGGGUUUCGGGGCGGCGGCAUGUCACUUUGGUAUUAUGAUUCUAAUACCUACAACUAAGUAUGAAUCACCAUAACAUGAAUUAAAAACUUACCUGGGCAUCGUGAUUCACAUAGUGAGUUAAUUCCGCUUUCUUCGAAGUCUUGAAUUCUUC
rnacentral:lncRNA from 1 species